CCCUUAGAUGUUCUGGGCGGCCCGCGCACUACAAUGGCGCUUUCAGCGAGUUCCUAUGUUGAAUUUUCCUGGGUAUUCUUGGAAGCGGCGUCUUGACUUGGGAUAGAUCCUUGUAAUUGUUGGUUUUGAACGAGGAAUUCCUUGUAAUCGCGGUUGAUCAGCUCGCGUUGAAUACGUCCCUGCCCUUUGUACACACCGCCCGUCGCUCCUACCGAUGAAUCGUCCGGUGAAGUUCACAGAGUGGCGGUUCGUGGAGUUGCUCGCGAAGUGAAAUGGACCUCACGAUUUAGAGGAAGGAGAGGUCGUAACA
rnacentral:rRNA from 1 species